AUUGAACGCUGGCGGCAGGCCUAACACAUGCAAGUCUAACGAGUGGCGGACGGGUGAGUAAUGUACCGGAAACUGCCUGAUGGCGGGGGAUAACUACUGGAAAAGUUAGCUAAUACCGCAUACACGUCGCUGUGCACAGAUGGGAUUAGCUAGUUGGUGGGUUAACGGCUCACCAAGGCGACGAUCAAUAGCGUGGUUGAGAGGAUGACCAGCAACACGGGAACGGAGACAGGGUCCAGAAUCCUACGCGAGGCAGCAGUUGGGAUUAUUGAACAAUGGGUGCAUGCCUGAUGCAGCCAUGCCGAGUGUAGGAUGAAGGCCUUCGGGUUGUAAAGUACUUUCAGCUGGGAUGCGUUACCCGCAGAAGAAGCACAGGCUAACUCCGUGCCAGCAGCCGCGGUAAUAC
rnacentral:rRNA from 1 species